GCCUACGGGGGGCAGCAGUGAGGAAUAUUGGUCAAUGGUCGGGAGACUGAACCAGCCAAGCCGCGUGAGGGAUGAAGGUACAGAGCAUCGUAAACCUCUUUUGUCAGGGAACAAAGGCGGGGACGUGUCCCCGGAUGAGUGUACCUGAAGAAAAAGCAUCGGCUAACUCCGUGCCAGCAGCCGCGGUAAUACGGAGGAUGCGAGCGUUAUCCGGAUUUAUUGGGUUUAAAGGGUGCGCAGGCGGUCUGUUAAGUCAGCGGUCAAAGCCCGGGGCUCAACCCCGGCCCGCCGUUGAAACUGGCAGG
rnacentral:rRNA from 1 species